rnacentral:rRNA from 1 species
GAUGAACGCUAGCGGCAGGCUUAAUACAUGCAAGUCGUGGGGCAGCAUGAGUAGCAAUACUUGAUGGCGACCGGCAAACGGGUGAGGAACACGUACACAACCUUCCUUCAAGCGGGGAAUAGCCCAGAGAAAUUUGGAUUAAUACCCCAUAAUAUAUUUGAUAAGGCAUCUUAUUAAUAUUAAAGCUUCGGCACUUGAUGAUGGGUGUGCGGCUGAUUAGAUAGUUGGCGGGGUAACGGCCCACCAAGUCUACGAUCAGUAGCUGAUGUGAGAGCAUGAUCAGCCACACGGGCACUGAGACACGGGCCCGACUCCUACGGGAGGUCAGCAGUAAGGAUAUUGGACAAUGGACGAAAGUCUAAUCCAGCCA